GUAGGUAAAGGAAAAUUACAGUCAAAGGGGGUUUGUUCUCUGGCGGGCUGGAUCCGAAAAGAGAGUCAGCGAAGGGAGAUGGGGGUGGGGCCGUUUUAUAGGAUUUGGGAAGGUAAUGGAAAAUUACAGUCAAAGGGGGUUGUUCUCUGGUGGGCAGGGGAGGUGGGGGGGGGUCACAAGGUGCUCAGUGGGGGAGCUUCUGAGCCAGGAGAAAGAAAUUCACAGGGUUAAUCACUCAGUUAAGGUGGGGCAGGAACAAAUCACAAUGGUGGAAUGUCAUCAGUUAAGGUGGGGCAGGGCCUUUUUACUUCUUUUGUGAUUCUUCAGUUACUUCAGGCCAUCUGGGGGCAUACGUGCAAGUCACAGGGGAUGCGAUGGCUUGGCUUGGGCUCAGAGGCCUGACAAUAGGCAGAAGCCAGGGAGGCCAAGGAAGCUAAGUUUCAUCCAGGAUCACAGUUCUUAGCCUAAGUCAUAUCAUAAAGAAAAAGUUGAUAUCCUCUGAUCAUUUAUGGAGAAAGAAUGUUAUAAACUGAAUUUUGACUUUUCUCACAAAUUCUUCCUUGUGUGGCAAGACCAAUGAGUAUGCUCGUGUUGUGUGGGCAGUUCCACUUUUAGAGGAGAAUAUUUGAAAAUAAUAUGGCAGCUCCUGACUGGUGAUUUCUGGUUCUCUCAGGUCUUGCAUUUUCUCUUUUUAAAAUAGCAUCCUAAAUAGAAUUUGAAUCCUAACUUUAUAAAAAAUAAUAAUAAAAUAAAAAGAGGAAAUAUUAAUUCAAAUCAUGUCAUGUCCCGCUUUCAACCCUCCAAUCCAAAGUCUUAGCAAGGCUUAUAAGGGCCUACCUGGUCUGCCCUGCCCACUUCUGACUUCCUCUCACUAUUACUGGCUUUAUUCUUUCUAAGAUGAAGUUAGGCAUUUAAAUUCAUCAAAUCUGAGGAAGUGGCUUAUCUGUUUCUGUAUGUAAGAAAUUAUCUCCCUUUUUUGUUAAACAGUCAGAUGAAUUGUCAGUAUUAAUGCCUGGACUAUGAGAUUUGAAUCUGAAUGAAAUAGCCUAGGGAGGCAGGGAAAGAAAUACAGUGAGGCAUUCAUUUAAAAAAUAUUCAUUUGACCUUAUGUACUAAGGUGAAUGCGGGUAGAAGUUCCUGAAGCCAAGUUCAGAUGUGACUUCCUUUCCUAAAGAGGCCCAAUUAAGAUCAUAUAUCAGGUUGGCUCCUUCAUUUGCAUGUGAAAAGGCACAGUUACGGAUGUAGCGGAUUGUUUGCAUGGCAAAUUAUAAGGAAAUGUUUCUUCCUUCUGCCAUCAAGACACUGUUUCAGCCAUUUCCACAUUAAUUUUGUAGGCUGGAAAGCUCUUGUUGCCAUUAAUUAUAUCUGGGCAAAACUGGAUUGAGUGGAGAUAGGUUGGCAACAAAAUAGGAUGAGGCAGAAAAUCUUGCAGAGUAUCUCACCAGUUGAAAGAGCAGGGAAAGGACAAGUUUGAAAUUAUCUGUGCAAAGAAUCCAGCUCCUUGCUGAAUCUCCACUUUCUCCAUGUCUUGCAGGUGAUGUGUGGUUCCUAAAGGACUUCUGUCACUGUGCUUGCCCGAGGUGCAGUUAGAAAACCAGUUCUCUUGCUUUGUGCUGCAUUUAGCCCAGCCAGGUUGGCAAAAGUUCGUAAAAGUGACCCCAUUUUGUUCUCUCUCCCUUCAGAUUUCAGUUUUGGCAUAAGUUUUGGUUGGCAAAUUGCAUUCUACAAUGAAAACGUUUUCUUACAUUUAACCCUAAGUUGGCUUGAGAUGGGCAUAACCAGUCCUGAUGCUGAAGGAAAUAGUUAGGAUAUUAGGUCCUAGAUUGCAAGCAAACUCAGUCCCACAUCAGAGCCCAAGGAAUGAAGCAUCAUACCUCAAAAGGCGCCCUAGACUUGAGCCCUCUAGACUAGCAGAGCAGAUGCUCGUGACUCUUAGAAACUUCUGGGUUGAAAAAGAAAUUUCAAAUUCUUGGAAGCAACCUUCCCCCUACUUUCUCACAACAAAUCCCUGACAUAAACACAAAAGACAUAAACAUCUACUUAGCUAUAGAAGAGUGGAGUUGUUAUAUAAGAAUAGCUGUAUGAGUUUAAAAGAUGGGCUAAUAAAUUUGAAGGACAAAAUUGAAGUCAGAAGAACUAGAAAGAUGCAGAUUACAUUUUUUUCUGAAACAUAUCGUAGGGUGAAAAAUAAAAUAAGACAAGGGUUUUGGGCUGAAAUAUGCUAAGGACUUGCUGAACCCAAGCUCUGCAUAAAAGCAGUUCAAGAUGCUUAUGUAUGUGAGUAUGUACAUCGCUCUUUUUUUCUUUCUCUAAACCUGCUGCUGGAAUCCACCAUCCUGUCCUUUUUCAUAACCUUCUCUGCAGGACAGAUAGUCUCUCCCAACUGAGGCUCCAUUUGCCUUGCCAAAUCCCAUUCUGAAAAUUCAGCUUUCCAAAUGGCAGCUUUAAGGGGACACAAACAAGGCUGAAAACUAGAGAGCAACCUAAAGGAACAGUUUGAGUUAGGAAGUUAAAGAGAAUCUGUGAAGCCCUGUGGAGUGAGCUCAUAUUUCCUGAGGAUCCUGCUGGCUUGUGCCAGUUGAGGUGACCGGUCUCUCCAGAUGGGAUGUGUGACUUUGCACACUGGGCUGUAAUUGCCCAUGACAACUGUAGCCUAGUUACUGCACCAAGAAAAAGAGAUAUACCAACAAUAGCAGCACCCAGAAACUCAUACUGCUCGAAGCAGAUGUCCUAUUAAAACUGUGAUUGUCUCCAUUAGAGAAAUUCCUCCUCAUGUUCUCAUUCUUUGUUUCAUAUACCUUUUUUCAAUAGUCUUUCUCUACCAUUUCCCCCAAAUAUCCUGGUGUCUCUUUUUGUGGAAGAGAAGCAAAGUUUCUUUAACCUUGACUGACUUAACCUAACCUUGACUCCUCUUACUGUUUGGGUGCAUAAGAAGUAUUUUUCUUAUGCGUUUCUCAUCAUAGAGGCCCUUGUCUUGGGCAUUACCUUUUGCAUUCAUUUACCCAUAUACGCAUCUGUCUACCCAUCCAUCCAUCCAUCCAUCCAUCCAUUCAUCCACUCAGCCACCCAUCCAUCCAUCUAUUCAUCCAUCUUCCAAUAUUCAUAUAUUUUCUGAACCCAAUAAGAGGAUUGAUUAUUUUUGCCUGCCUGGAGCUGUUUCCUCUUCCUUUGGGCCAAUGUUCUCUUUCAUGUUAAAUCCAUGUGGUUCAAGUGGGAUUGACCACAGCACCUAGCACCAAGAAUGGACACAUCACCCACACCAGGCCACUGCUCUACCCCAGUGACUGGAUUGAUUAGGGAAACCAAAGCCACUCCAACUCCUUGGUUUGUGGUUAGAAUUCUUGGGGAAGAGAAUGUCUCUCAUAGAGCUGGGAUUGCCAAACUUUGGGAAUGUCAGCUUCGAGUUGCCAACAGCCACGAGAGAAAAGUGAGACCCAAUAAGAAGAGACAGAACUGAGAGAUGGCAAGAGGGCAGUCAAAUCCAGACUUCCUGAUUGAGCUCCUGGAUCCAACUGUUUCAGUUCUAGCUCUGGAAAUUUUCAAGCUUGUGGAGUUAAGUAUUCCUUUUCAAUUAAGUCAUUUUGAGUUGAGUUUCUGUCACUCAUAGUUAAAAGAGUUAUGUCUACUG
rnacentral:lncRNA from 1 species